rnacentral:rRNA from 1 species
AACUUUCRACAACGGAUCUCUUGGCUCUCGCAUCGAUGAAGAACGCAGCGAAAUGCGAUACGUAAUGUGAAUUGCAGAAUUCAGUGAAUCAUCGAAUCUUUGAACGCACCUUGCGCCCCUU